UGGUGCGAUGAGACCGGCAGGCAGGCUGCAGGCAGCGGAUAGGACACAGAGACAGACAGACAGACACACGCGCGGGGGAUCGAAGACCGCCCAGAUACCCAAGAUGCCCACUGGGUACGGACCGAGUGAGGCGCGGUGAUUUCAGCAGCCUGAGGCUCGAGGCAGGUCCGGAGAGACUGACUGGCAAACGCGCAAUAGAGUGAUUAACCAUCCCUGUUAAUGUGGAACAGAGAGGUUUCCUGGGAUACUGGACUUCCAGUGGUAAAAGUUGGAAAGUCUAAGCUGGCUGGCAAAAUGUAACAAUGGGAAAGAAGAAAACUCUAGGAAGAAACUUCAACAGUAAAAUGAAACGUCUGUUUAGAGUUUAAUAUUUAUUUAAUAAAAUAUCCCCCCAGAUCCACAAUAUUUUACUGGCAAAAUUAGUCCUGACCCUUCCUAAAACUGUUUGACAAUGAGAAGUUUCUGGUAAUGCAUAGUAGUAUGUUUUAAGAUAAUAUUUAGCUAGUGGCACCUUGCACCUCCUGUUAUAAUUAAGGUAUUUUUUGUGUUAAAUACAUAAUUUUAAAAUGUUUGCUAUGAUAAAUAUAAUGUUCUGCUACAGGUUUUCUAUGGAAAGUCUUCAGCAUUGACUACAUUGAGAAUUCUUGGAAAAUAUGUUUCAAAUUUAAAAAAACUUAAUGUACUCAAAGUUUUUGAGUAACACUUCUUUUACUUAUAUUAUAGCUACUUAGUGUGGGUCUUUUAUUUGCUUUCAAUUUAUUUAUUUAUUUAACAAAUAUUCACUAUGGGCCAAGCACUAUAAUAGUAAACAAGUGAUAGUGAUGUACAAAACAAACACAUUCCCUGUUUUCCAUGGUGGUUUUCAAAGUCUUUUUAUAAAAUAAAACAAUAUUUCUCUGCCU